rnacentral:tRNA from 1 species
GGCCCGGUCGUCUAUCGGCCAGGACGCCACCCCCUCAAGGUGGAGAGGCGGGUUCGACUCCCGCCCGGGCUGC